GGUGCCCUGAACCCGAAACCCUCUUCAUGCGGGACCGAAUCCCCCGUCCGAGGGACACGACACGCCGGGGCGUACAGCCCGGAUGCCAGACACGUGGUGUUGACGGCCGGGUCCUGCGCGGCGGAACACCAUGAAUCGGGUCAGGUCCGGAAGGAAGCAGCCCUAAGUGGGUCGUUCCGGGUGCGACAGGGUUACCUGGUUUGAGCCGGCGGUCGGUGUCAACGGUGUAUCCCGUGUCUCGACGACGGGGUCACGA
rnacentral:SRP_RNA from 1 species